rnacentral:rRNA from 1 species
AUGAACGCUGGCGGCGUGCCUAAUACAUGCAAGUCGAGCGAACAGACGAGGAGCUUGCUCCUCUGACGUUAGCGGCGGACGGGUGAGUAACACGUGGAUAACCUACCUAUAAGACUGGGAUAACUUCGGGAAACCGGAGCUAAUACCGGAUAAUAUAUUGAACCGCAUGGUUCAAUAGUGAAAGACGGUUUUGCUGUCACUUAUAGAUGGAUCCGCGCCGCAUUAGCUAGUUGGUAAGGUAACGGCUUACCAAGGCGACGAUGCGUAGCCGACCUGAGAGGGAGACCGCCAACACGGGAAGUGAGACCGGGUCCAGCGCCUGGGGGGAGGCACAGUAAGGGAACCGUCGGCAAGGGGCGAAAGCUGGAGGGAGCAGGGCGGGGGGAGGAAGAAGGGUGUUGGGUUAGAAAACCUUUUUUUUGGGGAAAAAAAAAAUGUUAAGGAAAAAAUGCGCUCCUUGAGGGGACUUAAUAAGAAAGCCACGGCUAACUACGGG